CCAGUUUUUCAGACCCCUUCACAUUUUCAGUGUCUUCCAGUGCUGCAAACACUUGGAUAUUCCUGCUGCACCCAUACCUGCAUGUGCGUCUAUUGGCUGUGUCUGCAUUACUCUGUGAAAGGGAGAAAUAGCUCAAAUCAUUGUGUUUAAUUCCGCAAGAAUUUUACUCUAUCCCAUUCCGUCUUCUUUUGGGGAUAUUGGAAAGCUGCUGCACAUGCAAGAAAAGAGAUCUGGAUUUCACAAAUGGUUCCAGCUGGAUGGCUACUUCAGAGGGAGACCAGGAGAAACACCACUGUGUAAGGCCAUGUGGUUAACGUGCAGUAAGACAUCCAGUCUGUGCGCUUUGACUGCAGGGAGGAUAUGGCCUUCCGCGGGAGGAAAGAUUCUGGUUCAUUAUACUGUGUGUAGGAAGUGGAUUUAUGCAGUGCUGUCAGGAGACAGGGAGGCAAGCACUGCUUCCUUGCUGAUGACUCAAGUAUGUGAAAAUGCUGUAAUCUAAUUACUAAAAACGAGUAGAAGACUGGUGAUGGGAUGAGCAGCGGAGCAGCAUCGUGGUUCAGAAGUGCCAGCCGAGACAUCCCCAUACCUCUGCUGCAAAGAAGGGAAAAGCCUGGAAGAACUUCUACCAGAGGAAGGAUACAAAUCCUGGUUUUACUCAAAAUCCUACCUUCUUAUAGACUACCUUAGCAUUCUCCUCGAUACUAUCAAGAGAAAAAGAGACUUGGCAUUUGGUACGAAAUUCGGACUCCUGUUUCUUCUGCCAUCUGUGCUAAAAAGAAAAUUCAUCCAGACAAUGAAUGUUUCCUAAUUUCCCAUGCACACAUGCCCACUAUUUCAUCUUGUUCUCCAGUAGCUGGCAAAAGAGAUACUCUCACAUCCUAUCAAGAGCUGGAAUAGAGUCCUGUUUCUGGCACAUAUCUGUGGAAUUAUAUCAGAAAGGUCAGGAUGGACAAACUUGCCCCUUAUGGUGACAAUGUCUUCUACAUCAAAUCUUCUAUUUCACUUAAUUAUUAAAUACUUUCUUCACGGGACUGAAAACAACACGGUUAGAGUUGUGUUCUUUCUUUCCGCUGGUACUUUCCUCAUUUUGCCCAGUGUGAAAACCACUUGCAAUCCCCUACUGCUUUUUGACCUAACAUGGGCCAAUAUGCCCUUCAAAAGGAGUUAGACCCAGCCUCACCUGUUAAGUAUCAGAUAGAUUCUGCCUGAGACUAAACACUUGUAUGCAGGUUGAGCAUAAAGCAUGGUGACUCUGUGGGGCAGGGCCAUUACAGAGCCAAAGUCAUGGGAUGUAGGCCAGUUUCUAAUCCACGGGCUUCUGGCAAGAGCCAGAAAGUUACAACUCAAAGCUAGAUGUGUAGAAAAGACUUCUGGAGAAAAGGAUGAUGAAUUUGCUGAUGUUGCAUAACACUGUACAUCUUUUCUGGGUGACAGAAAAUCAUAAAGCUAAGCAGAACAAAUGCAAAGUCCUUCCCAUAGGAGAGACAGAAGACCCUGUAAGGUGGAGUCUGGGUAGAGUGAGAGCAGCUCCGCAGAGCAGGAUCUGGGGUGGGGAAGUUUUUGAACACGAAUCAGCAGUGCGCCCUUGAGGUGAUGAAAGCUAACCACAUGCCAGGCUGCAUUAGCAAGAGAGCAGCCAGCAGCUUGACGGAAUUGGUUAUUCCCUUCCAACUGGCAUUUGCAAGGCCACGUUUGGUGUACUGUGUAAUGCCCAGUUUUGGGUUCCCCUCUGAGAGGCAUUGGCAUGCUAGACUGUCCUAUGGAGGGCCACCAAGACUGUGGUGUAAGGCAUUUGGGACGAGCUGAGGAAACUAAGUUUGUCCAGCUUGAAGAAGCAAUGCCUGGGUUGGAGAGGGAGCUUUAAUGGUAAUCUUCAACUUCACAAAGUGGUGUUACAGACAAGAUAGAGUGAGUCUUCUCUCAGAGGUGUGCAGCCAAAGGACAAAUGUCGGUGGUCACAAGCUGUUAGCCAGGGAAAUUCUCAUCAAGUAGAAGGAGGAAAAAAAAAAUCCACCACAAAACAGAGCAGGGAGGAGUGGUCAAAAGCAGCCAGAGAGGUUGGGGAAUCUCCAUCCUCAGAGAUUUUCAAUGCUUGACUAGAGAAAGCCAUGAACAACCUCAUCUGACUUUUAAGUUUAUCUGACUUCGAGCAGAGGGUUGGACUAGAUGACCUCCAAAGGUUCUUUGCAACGUACAUUAUUCUGGGAUUCUAAAAAUAAGGUAGAGGUUGUAAGGAAAAUGACCUAAAUCAGAUUCAGGAGUGGCGUGAGUCUUUCCUGUGGUGAGAGAACAGGCCUGCAGGCUGUUAUAAUACUGCUGACCUCCUAAGGGCUGAAUGAUUGAAAACCACUCUUGGAUGCAGCAGAGCGUGUCUUCCUGGCACAGCACUUGCAUUGAGCCCUUCCCAAGUUUCUGUAAGCAAUGGCUUUAUCUGGGCGGAGUGCUGUCACUCAGGCAUUUUUUCCUUCAUUUUUCCUCUCACUCCUUGUCAUCAGAGCACAUGAAAACCAGUCUGUUAAAAGAACUCACCAAACAUUCACACUUCAAGAACAGGAGUGUGAUUUUUGCAAGAACUGUAAUUUUUUGUACAAUUUUCAUUUCUCAGAAGGUCAUUUGUGUCUUUGGUAACCAAAGCAUUGCACAAGUAAAAUGUAUCAAUCACAAAUUCCUACUUCUAGCCUGAAUAAGAACACUUAACAGGGAAAAAAAAAAAAAAGAAAAAAAAAAAAGAAAAAGAAAGAAGACUUAUACUAGAAACAUCUCUUUCUUUUAGCUUAAAAUGAUUCUGUGGGAGAUAGAUAAAGAUCCACAUUUUAACAAUUGAGAUGACUUCAGAAAGUAAUGGAGUGGAGUAACAACCUUUUUUAUGGUGGGUAAUUUAAACUGGUAUGAUGUAUACUUUACUAACUAAUAAAAAUGAAGUUUUGAUGCA